rnacentral:rRNA from 10 species
AAAUUGAAGAGUUUGAUCAUGGCUCAGAUUGAACGCUGGCGGCAGGCCUAACACAUGCAAGUCGAACGGUAACAGGAAGCAGCUUGCUGCUUUGCUGACGAGUGGCGGACGGGUGAGUAAUGUCUGGGAAACUGCCUGAUGGAGGGGGAUAACUACUGGAAACGGUGGCUAAUACCGCAUAACGUCGCAAGACCAAAGAGGGGGACCUUCGGGCCUCUUGCCAUCAGAUGUGCCCAGAUGGGAUUAGCUUGUUGGUGAGGUAACGGCUCACCAAGGCGACGAUCCCUAGCUGGUCUGAGAGGAUGACCAGCCACACUGGAACUGAGACACGGUCCAGACUCCUACGGGAGGCAGCAGUGGGGAAUAUUGCACAAUGGGCGCAAGCCUGAUGCAGCCAUGCCGCGUGUAUGAAGAAGGCCUUCGGGUUGUAAAGUACUUUCAGCGGGGAGGAAGGUGUUGUGGUUAAUAACCGCAGCAAUUGACGUUACCCGCAGAAGAAGCACCGGCUAACUCCGUGCCAGCAGCCGCGGUAAUACGGAGGGUGCAAGCGUUAAUCGGAAUUACUGGGCGUAAAGCGCACGCAGGCGGUCUGUCAAGUCGGAUGUGAAAUCCCCGGGCUCAACCUGGGAACUGCAUUCGAAACUGGCAGGCUUGAGUCUUGUAGAGGGGGGUAGAAUUCCAGGUGUAGCGGUGAAAUGCGUAGAGAUCUGGAGGAAUACCGGUGGCGAAGGCGGCCCCCUGGACAAAGACUGACGCUCAGGUGCGAAAGCGUGGGGAGCAAACAGGAUUAGAUACCCUGGUAGUCCACGCCGUAAACGAUGUCUACUUGGAGGUUGUGCCCUUGAGGCGUGGCUUCCGGAGCUAACGCGUUAAGUAGACCGCCUGGGGAGUACGGCCGCAAGGUUAAAACUCAAAUGAAUUGACGGGGGCCCGCACAAGCGGUGGAGCAUGUGGUUUAAUUCGAUGCAACGCGAAGAACCUUACCUGGUCUUGACAUCCACAGAACUUUCCAGAGAUGGAUUGGUGCCUUCGGGAACUGUGAGACAGGUGCUGCAUGGCUGUCGUCAGCUCGUGUUGUGAAAUGUUGGGUUAAGUCCCGCAACGAGCGCAACCCUUAUCCUUUGUUGCCAGCGGUCCGGCCGGGAACUCAAAGGAGACUGCCAGUGAUAAACUGGAGGAAGGUGGGGAUGACGUCAAGUCAUCAUGGCCCUUACGACCAGGGCUACACACGUGCUACAAUGGCGCAUACAAAGAGAAGCGACCUCGCGAGAGCAAGCGGACCUCAUAAAGUGCGUCGUAGUCCGGAUUGGAGUCUGCAACUCGACUCCAUGAAGUCGGAAUCGCUAGUAAUCGUGGAUCAGAAUGCCACGGUGAAUACGUUCCCGGGCCUUGUACACACCGCCCGUCACACCAUGGGAGUGGGUUGCAAAAGAAGUAGGUAGCUUAACCUUCGGGAGGGCGCUUACCACUUUGUGAUUCAUGACUGGGGUGAAGUCGUAACAAGGUAACCGUAGGGGAACCUGCGGUUGGA